GUCUUGUUAGCUCAGGCGGUAAGAGCGACGUGCUAGGAACACGGAGAUCAUGAGUUCGAUCCUCAUACAAGACA
rnacentral:tRNA from 1 species